UACGUAGGGCGCAAGCGUUGUCCGGAAUUAUUGGGCGUAAAGAGCUCGUAGGCGGUUUGUCGCGUCUGCUGUGAAAACUCGAGGCUCAACCUCGGGCUUGCAGUGGGUACGGGCAGACUAGAGUGCGGUAGGGGUGACUGGAAUUCCUGGUGUAGCGGUGGAAUGCGCAGAUAUCAGGAGGAACACCAAUGGCGAAGGCAGCUCGCUGGGACGGUACUGACGCUGAGGCGCGAAAGCGUGGGGAGCAAACAGG
rnacentral:rRNA from 1 species